GAUGAACGCUGGCGGCGUGCUUAACACAUGCAAGUCGAGCGAAGCGCUUAAGUUUGAUUCUUCGGAUGAAGACUUUUGUGACUGAGCGGCGGACGGGUGAGUAACGCGUGGGUAACCUGCCUCAUACAGGGGGAUAACAGUUAGAAAUGACUGCUAAUACCGCAUAAGACCACGGUACCGCAUGGUACAGUGGUAAAAACUCCGGUGGUAUGAGAUGGACCCGCGUCUGAUUAGGUAGUUGGUGGGGUAACGGCCUGCCAAGCCGACGAUCAGUAGCCGACCUGAGAGGGUGACCGGCCACAUUGGGACUGAGACACGGCCCAGACUCCUACGGGAGGCAGCAGUGGGGAAUAUUGCACAAUGGAGGAAACUCUGAUGCGGCGACGCCGCGUGAAGGAUGAAGUAUUUCGGUAUGUAAACUUCUAUCAGCAGGGA
rnacentral:rRNA from 1 species